UGGGGAAUCUUCCGCAAUGGGCGAAAGCCCGACGGAGCAACGCCGCGUGAGUGAAGACGGCCUUCGGGUUGUAAAGCUCUGUUAUAUGGGACGAACGGGCGUAUGGUCAAUACCCAUACGCCGUGACGGUACCGUAAGAGAAAGCCACGGCUAACUACGUGCCAGCAGCCGCGGUAAUACGUAGGUGGCAAGCGUUGUCCGGAAUCAUUGGGCGUAAAGGGCGCGCAGGCGGUUCGGUAAGUCGGUCUUAAAAGUGCGGGGCUUAACCCCGU
rnacentral:rRNA from 1 species